CGAUAACGAACGAGACCUUGACCUGCUAAAUAGCCCGGCUGACUUUUGUCGGCCGCUGGCUUCUUAGAGGGACUUUUGGCUCAAGCCAAUGGAAGUACGAGGCAAUAACAGGUCUGUGAUGCCCUUAGAUGUUCUGGGCCGCACGCGCGCUACACUGACAGAGCCAGCGAGUACAUCACCUUGACCGAAAGGUCUGGGUAAUCUUGUUAAACUCUGUCGUGCUGGGGAUAGAGCAUUGCAAUG
rnacentral:rRNA from 1 species